rnacentral:lncRNA from 1 species
GGGGGGGGUUGACAGGGCCUCGUGUGAAGCUGUGGGUGGAAUUUAGCUCAGGGAGAGCGCCUUCACCUCUACGUGUAGGUUUAGGGGCUGGAUGUGGCCUUUUUUUGUGAGACUUGGGGCAGAAUUUACCUCAAGAGGAGACCCUUAAUGCCCCAACGUAGCUCUGGAGGAGGGGGGGUGUUGGUUUUUCUUAGGGGGAGCUCCUUCACCCCCUCAGUUAGAGCUGUAAGGGGGGGGGGGGACGCGGCCUUUUGUGAGGUUGAGUGCAACGCUCACCUCAGGGAGAGCCGCUUCACCCUCGCUAAUUGCUCCGGAGGAGGCAGAACGUGCCUCCUUGUGAGGCUGGCAGCGAUGUUUUCCUCAGGGGGAGCCUCCUGGCCCCCAAAUGUAGGGGGGGGGACACAGCUCUUUGUGAUGCUGGGAGCAGCGUUUACCUCAGUGAGAGCCUGGGGUGGCUGUGGGUUUCUAUGGGGCUGAGAGCAGGACCCCCGCCACCACCCCAAGGGAUGAUUUCUGCCCUUCCUCUGCUGGGGUUCGGCGUGGAGCCCCCCCCCCCCGGCUCUUCCCUCAAUCCAUUUUUCCUUGGUGUUUUUCAGGAGGUUCCUCCCGGCAUGGAGCACUUCCCCUUCGCCGACGACAGCUCCGUGAGCCUGGAGAUCCAGCUGCUGAGCUUCACGGGGAGCCCCGCGCUGCCCCCCAGCCCGGAGCUGAGCCUGCAGGACGCGGACGCGGCCCCCCCGGAUGAUGCGGCCCCCCCGGAUGACGCAGCCCCCCCGGAUACGGCCGGCGACGCGCUGGAGGACAGCCUGAGCGUGCUGACCCUGUGCCCAGCAAGGGAAUGGGACGGCGAGGCGCAGCACGAGCUCCAUCCACGCGGGUAGGGCUGCAGGAAACCGUAACGACCGCAUCCCUCUUCUGCAGGGAUUUCGCUUUUAUCCUCUUUCCUUGAGAUCACCCCCUCGGUAGGAACACGUGGGAUUCCUUUAUCCCUUCCCCGAGAGUUUUUGCAGCCCGCUCUCCAGCUGGAGAUGGAAAACGUGGAGGCAUUAAAGUGACAGAUCCGCUCGGCGCCUCCCAAACAUCCCCGUUACCGCUUCCCCUGCGGCCCGGAGGAGACGUUCUGCUUCAUUCUUCUCGCAUUAUGGGAUGGAUUAAGCAGAACGGGCUCUUUCUCCUCUCCUUGAGGGAACGGGCGGCUUAAUUGCUGAUGAAAAGCACCCGCUUUUAGCGCCCGGGAAGCAAAACAAAUGGAAACCCAGCGCCCCGAAAGCUCGCCAACGGGGUAAUGAGGCUUUCUCCUAACGAGCGGGGCCGCUCCUUCCCCUGAGUCAUCCCAGUUUGGCGGCUCUGCCUCUGGGCGGGGGAAUGGUGAAUCCUCUCCCCGAGCCGAGGACGAAACCCCGCAAACAGAGCGGGCGGGGGCCGCUCUUCUUCCCUCUUCUUUCCCAAAUUAAAGAGGAAACGGUGAAAUUCCUUACGGAGAGGUUGGGA